rnacentral:rRNA from 1 species
UGAGCAGCGACGCCGCGUGAGGGAUGACGGCCUUCGGGUUGUAAACCUCUUUCAGCAGGGACGAAGCGAAAGUGACGGUACCUGCAGAAGAAGCACCGGCCAACUACGUGCCAGCAGCCGCGGUAAUACGUAGGGUGCAAGCGUUGUCCGGAAUUAUUGGGCGUAAAGAGCUCGUAGGCGGCUCGUCACGUCGGCUGUGAAAAC